rnacentral:rRNA from 1 species
AUACGGAGGGUGCGAGCGUUAAUCGGAAUUACUGGGCGUAAAGCGUACGUAGGCGGUUGGUUAAGUUAGAUGUGAAAGCCCCGGGCUUAACCUGGGAACUGCAUUUAAAACUGGCGAACUAGAGUUGAGUAGAGGGGAGUGGAAUUUCAGGUGUAGCGGUGAAAUGCGUAGAGAUCUGAAGGAACACCAGUGGCGAAGGCGACUCCCUGGACUCGAACUGACGCUGAGGUACGAAAGCGUGGGUAGCAAACGGGAGUAGAAACCCUAGUAGUCC